CUUAACUCUCUGCUCGUGGAAUAAAAUUAAGAUGCUCUGUCUAGUGUAAUGGUAACUAUACCAGCAAACUAGUGUAGUUGAUUCAGUUUUGUGAGUCGCUUAAUAGAACCAUGUUUUUAAUAAGGUGGAUUAAGAUGCUAUGGAGCGAAUGUUUCCUUUACGAUGUAACUGAUUAUGCGAGAGCAAGAUUACCCAAUGCUGACUACGAUGCAAAGCAAAACAUU